GGCGAACGAAAAGGAAUGAGCCCAGCGCAGAACGUUCCGGGGCACUCGCCCUGAGAAUGAAUGUUGCGUUAAGGAUAUUGGCAUACACCCAUGGCAGUUACACUUUGCUAAGUCAGCCUCGAAUGGUUCUCGUGAAGCCGGUAACACGGUGAGACUCCAGGGAGGGUGUUAGACCCGUGUGAAGGUGCAAUCUGCUUGGGCAAGCCGAUAUCCCGAGAGUCGCGUUGUUUGAACAUGCAGCGCUAAGCAGGUCGUAGACUCGAUCUAAGGCUAAAUAUGUCCACAGAACCGAUAGUUAACAAGUACCGUGAGGGAAAGUUGAAAAGCACUCCGUAACGGAGAGUCAAAAGACCGUGAAACCACUCAGAGUAUAAGCCAAUGGUGUCUGGAAGGUCCUGUGCUUACAUCUUGGUGUCAAGGACUCAUGCGAACCUCAGCACUUGCGGGAGCAAUCUCCGUUGCUUUGGUAAGCUUGUCCGCUGAAGCACUCCGUUGACCCACCUGGCUCGUUGUGAGGUGUCCUGAGAGCAAAGCGAAGUGUUAAGAUUGGCUUGGAGUUGGGCGUGGGCGUCUCGAUGCCUUUCGCACUCUCCUUUUCGAGCACUUCUUCAGUUCUAUUCGCACAAAGUGUGGUAGUCUUGGAGUGUGCGCUGCUUGACGCUCUCUGGAACCAUCCUCUGCGACGAAGCUUCAAUGCCUUAGUGAGCGGCCGUCUUCCUCCUCGGGAGUCGGUACAUUGGCGCGGCUUGCACACUGUCGGUGCUCCGCUGUUCAACUCUGGCGCAAGGUGUUACGUCCGAUACCAUUGGUCACGUCUCGAAACACGGGCCAAGGAGUAUAGCGUGUGUGCAAGUCUAAGGGUUCCACAAAACCUGGAGGCGUAGUGAAAGCGAGUUAUGGUGUCUCACUGGACUGAUGGAGAAGGCAGUGAUGCGUGAUCCCGCAAGUCCCGGACUCGUCGUCUGCACUGCUUCGGUUGUGUUAGCGCGAGCACCGCAGAGCACAUACGCUAUGACCCGAAAGAUAGUGAACUAUGCUUGGCGAGGGUGAAGCCCCAGGAAACUGGGGUGGAGGCCCGUAGCCGUUGUGACGUGCAAAUCC
rnacentral:rRNA from 1 species